GAGUUUGAUCAUGGCUCAGGAUGAACGCUGGCGGCGUGCCUAAUACAUGCAAGUCGAGCGGUAAGGCUCCUUCGGAAGUACACGAGCGGCGGACGGGUGAGUAACGCGUAAGAAUGUACCCCAAACUGAGGGAUAAGCACCAGAAAUGGUGUCUAGUACCGCAUGUGCUCUUCGGAGUAAAGCUACGGCGGUUUGGGAAUAGCUUGCGUAUGAUUAGCUAGUUGGUAAGGUAAUGGCUUACCAAGGCGACGAUCAUUAGCUGGUCUGAGAGGAUGAUCAGCCACACUGGGACUGAGACACGGCCCAGACUCCUACGGGAGGCAGCAGUGGGGAAUAUUGGACAAUGGGGGCAACCCUGAUCCAGCCAUGCCGCGUGAGUGAUGAAGGCCUUCGGGUU
rnacentral:rRNA from 1 species